GUUCUGAUGACACAUACAUAGACCAACUGUAUAUUGGCAUUUAAUAUACAAUACUGAACCUGUUUUCUCAGGACCAGUACUCGCAGUUUCAUUUUUCCAUGUCCAAAAAAUAUGUUGCUUCUAUUACGGUAUAUGACAAUACACAGGUUGGGUGAAUGGGAUAAUUAAGGUCAGCAAGUUUGGGCCACUCCCAAAGAGGUAUAACUGGGGAGUGUUUGUAAUUCAACUUUGGGCUUACUAAAUGGUUGCUCCUGAGCUUAAUCUGCAUUAGCUUCUGGCUUGCUGCCUAUUUGAUGCAGGCAAUUUUAUCUUCUCUGCUCGUCUCCUUGUCCAAGAAAGGAAGAUUGGAAAAGACAUAAAUUCUGUGGGAAGAACUGCAUGAGUUAAAUCAUAAACUGGGACACAUGUAGCCAAGCAACAUCAGACUGUUAUUAAGGUGGCACACGUUAUUUACAAGGAAGAAAACACAAGUUAGGAGAAGUUGUAGCAGGUUGCUUUUGCUUGAUCCUGCUGGAAAGGCCCACCCAGCAGUUCUGUGGCAGGCUGGAAGGAGAAUGAUUUUAAAUGGAGAGGACAAUGUCCUAGUUUGACGUUCCAAGUAAGGAGUCAAAAGGCAGAGCCUGAGCACUUCCGAUGUGCCACACAGAAGGCCUCUGAGAGCAGUUUUCAUAUGUGAGUGUGCUGGGAAGGAAGAAAGCGAAACCGGUCUACUGAUGACAAGAGGGAUGAGUCUCUACUCUUAGUACCUCUUCACAUGGGGGAUUGACGGCGCAACGGCACGACCCAAAAGGGCCGAGUGAAGAUCUUAAGGGACAACUACUUUCAAAGACAGUGACCAUCCUGAUUACCCACUCACAAAGGCUUUUUUGAAAGCACUCAGUAACCUCAGCAACACUCCACAA